AAACCAUGGUGAGGACGCAUUCAUAAGAGAUCCUUAUAUCUUUCCCAUGCUUCAUACAAUGAUUCCAUAUCUUGUUGGAAGAAAUUGGUAAUCUCACUUCUCAACUU